rnacentral:lncRNA from 1 species
AGCAAGCAAUUACCCUUCCCCCAGCUUUGAAGCUAUUGUUCCUUGCAUGCUCCUGUCUUUGGUUCACAGAAGAUUUGACUGUAUCUGUUAUUAGUCUUAGGUCUCCCGAGUUUUGCUGUAAGUUUUUGUAUUCUUCAUGUUUCAGAUCACACAGGCCAAGCUUGAAUUACCCUGGCCUCAGUUUCUAAUAAAAUAUCUUUUUCCCCAAGGUGCUAGCAAGAGAGUCAUAUCUGGGGUGGAAUCAUGUGAAAUGCGUUCAUUUUUUGCAUGUCCUUCACCUUAGAUCAGAGAGUACUGACUCAUGAUUAAGUUUUCUUCUGUUUCUGUUGGAAGCCCCGCGUUGUCCUCUAGCCUCCCUUGAGAAGGUUAAAUUCAGCCCUGACAUUUGAUUACUGAAACGUGGCCCCACUUUCUCUGGAAGUUUUGUAGGCAUGACCCAACUUUUCAUUCUUUAACAAGCCUCCAACCCAGAACCGCCUGCUUUUAGGUUGCAAACCCUGCCUCCUCACGGGUUUGAGCAGUGCAUGCAGUGUGCUGAGUGUGGGACUGAUGGACACCCUCCUGCUUCCUUCUCUGGGCCUCUGACUAGACAGCAGACAUCUCCAUUUAAAUACGCAAUGCAUUUGUCUGAAGUGCACGGGGAAAAUAUCUUCUGUUACGGACAAGAUCAUUGCUUGAUGCAAACUAGAACAGGAUUAUGGAAUUUCAUUGGAGCUAUGGCAAUUGACACUCCUGUGGGGCUGAAUGCGAAUGUUAAUCAAUCUAUUUUAAUUCUGUUUUCUGUUGUAUUUAACCUUUGGGUAGGCUUGUUAGGGUAGACAUUGUAUACAUCUUUUUCUCGGCUAUUCAUUUAAACAGCCUUCCACAGUCUGUGUGCAUUUUGCUUUGGGCAAAGAAAAUGUGCACUUAACAUUUCUGUUCUGAACCAUAUUUUAAAUGAACCCUUUUGUAGUUAUGAAAUAUGUAAUUAAAGCUGUAACCCAGUAGAGCACUUAAAUGAAUGCUUAAGAGUCUGUAUAGUUUCAUGGACUUUCUGGGUAAAUUGAGUAAGAAUAUAUUGCUUCUGACCUAGCCUACACAUUAUUUUCAGUCAGCUGGUACCAUGGCACGACGGUUCUCUGGCAAGUGCAUAUUUUAUCCAGCUGUGGGAAAAUCUUAUAUUUUGUUUGAGACUGUGGAGAAGUCUCAUCAAAGAGAGUAAGAGUCAAAAUGAAAUGAUGAAGAGGCCAAAUUUGGUACAGGAUGUUCCUGAGGCUUUUGAUGUUGGUAUUAUUAAUCAUAAAUUUGAU